CCUACGGGAGGCAGCAGUAAGGAAUAUUGGUCAAUGGAGGCAACUCUGAACCAGCCAUGCCGCGUGCAGGAAGACUGCCCUAUGGGUUGUAAACUGCUUUUAUCCGGGAAUAAACCUGCUUACGUGUAAGUAGCUGAAUGUACCGGAAGAAUAAGGAUCGGCUAACUCCGUGCCAGCAGCCGCGGUAAUACGGAGGAUCCAAGCGUUAUCCGGAUUUAUUGGGUUUAAAGGGUGCGUAGGCGGCCUGUUAAGUCAGGGGUGAAAGACGGUAGCUCAACUAUCGCAGUGCCCUUGAUACUGAUGGGCUUGAAUGGACUAGAGGUAGGCGGAAUGAGACAAGUAGCGGUGAAAUGCAUAGAUAUGUCUCAGAACACCGAUUGCGAAGGCAGCUUACUAUGGUCUUAUUGACGCUGAGGCACGAAAGCGUGGGGAUCAAACAGGAUUAGAUACCCUGGUAGUCCACGCCCUAAACGAUGAACACUCGCUGUUGGCGAUACACAGUCAGCGGCGUAGACGAAGACGUUAAGUUAGUUCCGUACCGUCGGGGAGGUACGGCCCGGCCGACGGGUAGGAACGUACGAAGGAAGUUAGUACGGACGUGAGACGUUGCCGACGGACGACGACGAGGGGAGGAGGG
rnacentral:rRNA from 1 species